ensembl:lncRNA
UGUAUAUUCCUUACGUGUUUUACAGGUGUAAACUUUUGUAAGAUUCCUUACACAGGUAUUGACUUACAACUAGAAAUGUUUUCAGCAAGGGAAAAAUACCAGUCUAAUUUUUGUUUUCUUCUGGUGCUUUAUAGGAAGAGAAGUACUUGCUUAUCUUAUUGGGCAUAUGAAGAGUCCAAAGAAUUUAAUGGUUACUUUACAUCUUGGGAAAUUGCAGAUUACAACAUGCAUCUAGCUGAAAACUAACUCUGGAUUAAUAUAUAAUGUUUCAGAAUGUAUUGGCGAUAAAAAAGAAACAUUUUUAUUUAUACAUUUGGCAAAAGUUCUAAAAACAAACAAACAAACAAAUAAACAAACAAAAAAGUGUCAGAGAGCAAGAGGGAAUGAAGUAAACAACUUAUAUAUCUUUUUUAAAAGUACUUGAACACAGUGAAAUAGAAGGCUCCAUAAUGAGAUUAUUCAAUGCUGAUGAGGCCACACCUGGAGUACUGUCUGGUUCCGGGCUCCCAAGUACAAAAGGGACAUGGACAUACUGGAGAGAGUCCAACAAAGGGCAACAGAAACUAUGAAGGGACUAGAACAUUUCUCCUGUGAGGGAAGGCUGAGAGAUCUGGGACUGACUCUUCACCUUCUAGAAGGCUGAAUAGAAGAAAUAGAAGGUUCUGUCUGAAUAUCAGAAAACACUUCUUUUGCUGUACAGAUGACAGAGCACUGGCACAGGUUGCCUGGAGGGGUUGUGGAGUCUCCUACUUGGAGAUCUUCAAAAAACCUCUGGGCAUUGUGGUGGACAAGCUGCCCUAGGUGUCGCUGCUUGAACAGGGGGUUGGACUAGAUGAAUUCCAGAGGUCUUUUCCAGCCUCAGCCAUUCUGUCAUUGUGUGAGAUGAAGGAAGGAAGAAUCUCAUAAAUUUAUCUCUGUCUUAUGUGGUGUCCUCUGAGGCAAUCAGAUGAGAAGUCCUUAUGCCCAAGGAUUGCUUACUGUCCUUCAGUGAAUGAGAGCGUGCUGCCUACUGAGGAGAGAAGAACAAGUGAAAGAUGCCACUUUUUGGUAUUUGCUGGUACAGGAAAGAAAAUGUUGAAGUCCAGAGCUAGGAAAAACAUAACUGGAACUUUUCAGCAGGUAUAAGAACAGAGACACAUGGCAAAAAAUAAUUUCUAAGGCCUUAUAAAAAGUGCUGUAGAAAUUCAUCUUUUUCAUCCUCAUUUCUUCCCACAGCUACCUUGUUCAAAGUGUUUAGUGUUUAAAGCUGCAUGACUUUGAUCAGGAAGACUGAGAACAUUUUACCAGAGACUCUGUGGGAGAAAACUUCAUCAUCUUUUCCCCAUCCCAUGUAUUUGCAGUUGAAUGCUGGUCAUCAUGUGUUUGUAUUACAGUAUCUGUAGGUCUUGUGAAAAAGAGGGAUGGAAGCUGUUAUCUUUUUGUGAAAGUGAAUACAGGAGGACAUCUAUACAGCAGAGGCUGGGGAAAGAGGGCAGAAUGACAGAGAAUGCCAGAAGAAGGAAUGAGGAGAUCUGUAGUAAUUGCUGAAAAUGCUGGUAACAUUAUCUAUAUAGAGCACUGUAGUAUGCAAGGCAUGUUAUGGCAGUGGAUAGGCUAAUAAAGUAUGUUUGAAUUAUUAAAUUUACUUAUCU